CGCAUCUGUGCAUGCAGCAUAUCAAUAAGCGGAGGAAAAGAAACUAACAAGGAUUCCCCUAGUAACGGCGAGUGAAGCGGGAAGAGCUCAAAUUUGAAAUCUUAAAGGGUUUCCCUUUACGAAUUGUAGUUUAAAGAAGUGUUUUCUGUUGAGGUUUUGGUAAAAGUUCUUUGGAAUAGGACAUCAUAGAGGGUGAGAAUCCCGUAUUUGACCUUUACUUUCAACUUUGUGAUACACUUUCAAAGAGUCGGAUUGUUUGGGAAUGCAGUCCAAAAUGGGUGGUAAAUUUCAUCUAAAGCUAAAUAUUGGCGAGAGGACCGAUAGCGAACAAGUACCGUGAGGGAAAGAUGAAAAGAACUUUGAAAAGAGAGUUAAACAGUACGUGAAAUUGUCAAAGGGGAAGCGUUUGACACCAGUGUUGUUUUCUCUGAAAAUCAAUUAAAGAACUGUUUAUGCUAAGUUGUUUAGACUUUAUCAGCUAACUGUUUAGUUUUGAGCUUUUCUUUAACUGCACUUUUCAGUUCAACAAGUCAACCUCAAUUUCUUUUGCUGUAAAAAAGCUUGAGGAAGGUGGCUUGAGAUUCGUCUUAAGUGUUUAUAGCCUCUUGCCUAUGCAGUCGGAGAGAUUGAGGUCUGCAGCGUAGAUCCUUCGGGGCUAAAUGCAUUUGUGCUAAGUUAUAGCAUUUUAUAGACAACUUGUUGACUAUGAUUUGUCUUGUAGCUUACUCGCUUAUGUUAUUUUACCUACGCUUAGGAUGUUGAAUCUGUGCGAGACUAC
rnacentral:rRNA from 1 species